AUGAAGAUCUCGGUAUGUUUUAAAGCAUGUGUUGUUGUUCUGUCCAAUUUUCGUCAUUCAAACACAAGGAUACAUGGUGGAGACGGAAUUUUUUUCAAAUGUGCAAAUUCGUUCUUGGAUUUAGAUGUGUGUUUAACUGUAUGUACCUGGCAAGCUACCAUUGGCAAUAAACUUACAACAAACGUACAUCUAUCUUGGCAACAAACUAACAUCACAAGUUUUUCAAGUGCUCAACAGAAGACAUCAAAACAUAUUUAAGAUUGUAAAAACAAUUGACUGUAAAUGAUUUGUUUGUAAAUCUUAUUAAUGUAAAGUGGUACUUUAUAAUGAGAGAAAAUGUUCCACAUGUAAA